UACAGGGGGUGCAAACGUUGCUCGGAAUUAUUGGGCGUAAAGCGCACGUAGGCGGACUCUUAAGUCAGGGGUGAAAUCCUGGAGCUCAACUCCAGAACUGCCUUUGAUACUGGGAGUCUUGAGUUCGGGAGAGGUGAGUGGAACUGCGAGUGUAGAGGUGAAAUUCGUAGAUAUUCGCAAGAACACCAGUGGCGAAGGCGGCUUGCCAGAAUGCGCUCGACGGUGAGGGAUGAAAGCUGGGGGAGCAAACCGG
rnacentral:rRNA from 1 species